AUUACCGCGGCUGCUGGCACGAAGUUAGCCGAUGCUUAUUCUCACCAUACUAUCAGCUCCCCUCACGAGGGGAGGUUUUCUCCGGUGUAAAAGCAGUUUACAACCCAUAGGGCCGUCUUCCUGCACGCGGCAUGGCUGGAUCACCCUUGCGGGCAUUGUCCAAUAUUCCUUACUGCUGCCUCCCGUAGGAGU
rnacentral:rRNA from 1 species